rnacentral:rRNA from 1 species
UACGUAGGGUGCGAGCGUUGUCCGGAAUUACUGGGCGUAAAGGGCUCGUAGGCGGUUUGUCGCGUUCGGGAGUGAAACCUCGGGCUUAAACUCGGGGCUUGCUUUCGGAUACGGGCAGACGUAGAGGUAGGCAGGGGAGAGCGGAACUCCUGGUGUAGCGGUGGAAUGCGCAGAUAUCAGGAGGAACACCAGCGGCAAAGGCGGCGCUCUGGGCUGGCACUGACGCUGAGGAGCGAAAGCGUGGGUAGCGAACAGG